UACGUAGGUGGCAAGCGUUGUCCGGAUUUACUGGGCGUAAAGAGCGCGCAGGCGGUCGUUCAAGUCGCGUGUGAAAGCCCCCGGCUCAACUGGGGAGGGUCACGCGAUACUGAUCGACUGGAAGGCAGGAGAGGGUAGUGGAAUUCCCGGUGUAGUGGUGAAAUGCGUAGAUAUCGGGAGGAACACCAGUGGCGAAGGCGAUUACCUGGCCUGUUCUUGACGCUGAGGCGCGAAAGCUAGGGGAGCAAACGGG
rnacentral:rRNA from 1 species